CAAGAAUCAUGACUCCCUUGUUCAUGGUUGUAACUCCAGUGCUGAAGGACGCCUGGCAAGUGACAGAGCGCAAUGAAUAUUAGCCAUCGCUAAUGUCGACAGAGGGUUUGCUCUCUGCCAGGCACUGUUCUUUGACUUUACAGGAUGUAUCUCAGGCAAUCCUCACAACAAUCCAAUGAGACAACUGCAGGUCACACAAGUGUGCUCCUCCACGUUCCAGCAAGGGAGAACCACCAAAAUGUCCUCAACGAUCAAGCAAGUUACUCAAGCUCUCAGAGCCUCAGUGCUCUCAUCUGCAAUUGGUCAUAAUAGCACCUACUUCAAAGGGUGGAGGCGAAGAUUAUAGAGAAAGAAGCCAGCCACCCACUCCACCAUAAGCCAUUUUCAAACUAAAGAUCAAUUCUUUUUCGUUUGAAUGAGCACAACUCUCCCAGUGGGAUAACUACAGGUAAACCUUCCCCCU